AACGAACGCUGGCGGCAUGCCUAACACAUGCAAGUCGAACGAGACCUUCGGGUCUAGUUGCGCACGGGUGCGUACCGCGUGGGAACCUGCCCUUAGGUUCGGAAUAACUCCCCGAAAGGGGUGCUAAUACCGGAUAGUGUCUUCGGACCAACGAUUUAUCGCCUUUGGAUGGGCCCGCGUUGGAUUAGCUAGUUGGUAGGGUAAAAGCCUACCAAGGCGAGGAUCCAUAGCUGGUCUGAGAGGAUGAUCAGCCACACUGGGACUGAGACACGGCCCAGACUCCGACGGGAGGCAGCAGUGGGGAAUAUUGGACAAGGGGCGAAAGCCUGAUCCAGCCAUGCCGCGUGUGUGAUGAAGGCCUUAGGGUUGUAAAGCUCUUUUACCCGGGAUGAUAAUGACAGUACCGGGAGAAUAAGCUCCGGCUAACUCCGUG
rnacentral:rRNA from 1 species